rnacentral:rRNA from 1 species
GACGAACGCUGGCGGCGUGCUUAACACAUGCAAGUCGAACGGAAAGGCCCUGCUUUUGUGGUGUGCUCGAGUGGCGAACGUGUGAGUAACACGUGCGUAACCUGCCCUUGACUUUGGUAUAACUUCAGGAAACUAGUGCUAAUACCGGAUCGGAUCUCCUGCUGCAUGGUGGGGGUUGGAAAGUUUCGGCGGUUGGGGAUGGACUCGCGGCUUAUCAGCUUGUUGGUGGGGUAGUGGCUUACCAAGGCUUUGACGGGUAGCCGGCCUGAGAGGGUGACCGGCCACAUUGGGACUGAGAUACGGCCCAGACUCCUACGGGAGGCAGCAGUGGGGAAUAUUGCACAAUGGGCGGAAGCCUGAUGCAGCAACGCCGCGUGCGGGAUGACGGCCUUCGGGUUGUAAACCGCUUUCGCCUGUGACGAAGCGUGAGUGACGGUAAUGGGUAAAGAAGCACCGGCUAACUACGUG